CUAGAGGUGGCAAUAUGGAUGCAAAACCAUUAAACCAAUCCAAACCAAACCAAAAUUAUGAAUUUGGAUCCAUUUGAAAUCACAUUUAUAAAAAUGGAUUUGGUUUGGUUUUUAGUCUCACAUUUCUCACAAAAUAUGGUUCUAACCAUAUUUGGUCUCACUUUUAAGAUUUUUUAUAACUCUCCACACACACUAUUAGGUUCCUUUUCUUUUCUUUCUUUCUUUUUGCAAUUUAUCACACAUGCACAUCCCAUGAUUCGAACUCAUGACCUUACUUGGAGAAGCCAAGAGCUUAAACCACUCCAUCAACUCACACAUGCUUUUGUUAUAUUUAGUAUUCAUUAUAUUGUGAUUUGAGUGUAUUAACUUUUGGUCAUUAUAUAAAACUUAUUUUUACUUACUAAACUAGUUACCCAUAAUUCAAACUAAAACCAUAACCACAUUUAUUAAUAUAUGGUUUGGAAAUGGUUUUGGUUCAUCUAUCUAAACCAAAUCCAUUUUAUAAGAACCAAAAUCAAACCAAAACCACAUUUUGCCACCUCUA
rnacentral:lncRNA from 1 species